rnacentral:rRNA from 1 species
AGAGUUUGAUCCUGGCUCAGGAUGAACGCUAGCGGCAGGCUUCAUACAUGCAAGUCGAGGGGCAGCAUAAAUUACUUGUAAUUUGAUGGCGACCGGCGAACGGGUGCGUAACGCGUAUGCAACUUACCUUUUACUAGAGAAUAGCCAAGAGAAAUUUUGAUUAAUGCUCUAUGUUCUUAUUUACUCGCAUGAGUAAAUAAGCAAAGCUCCGGCGGUAAAAGAUGGGCAUGCGUCCUAUUAGCUUGUAGGUGAGGUAACGGCUCACCUAAGCUCCGAUAGGUAGGGGUCCUGAGAGGGAGAUCCCCCACACUGGUACUGAGACACGGACCAGACUUCUACGGAAGGCAGCAGUAAGGAAUAUUGGACAAUGGAGGCAACUCUGAUCCAGCCAUGCCGCGUGAAGGAAGACGGCCUUAUGGGUUGUAAACUUCUUUUAUACAGGAAGAAACCUUUCCACGUGUGGAAAGCUGACGGUACUGUAAGAAUAAGGAUCGGCUAACUCCGUGCCAGCAGCCGCGGUAAUACGGAGGAUCCAAGCGUUAUCCGGAAUUAUUGGGUUUAAAGGGUCCGCAGGCUGUUUGUUAAGUCAGAGGUGAAAGCCUACCGCUCAACGGUAGAACUGCCUUUGAUACUGGCAAACUUGAGUUAUUGUGAAGUAGUUAGAAUGUGUAGUGUAGCGGUGAAAUGCAUAGAUAUUACACAGAAUACCGAUUGCGAAAGCAGAUUACUAACAAUAUACUGACGCUGAGGGACGAAAGCGUGGGUAGCGAACAGGAUUAGAUACCCUGGUAGUCCACGCCGUAAACGAUGGUCACUAGCUGUUCGAUGUACAUUGGUACAUUGAGUGGCUAAGCGAAAGUGAUAAGUGACCCACCUGGGGAGUACGCUCGCAAGAGUGAAACUCAAAGGAAUUGACGG